GACGAACGCUGGCGGCGCGCCUAACACAUGCAAGUCGAGCGAGAACCGGGCUUUCGGGCCCGGGGAAAGCGGCGAACGGGUGAGUAACACGUGGGUAACCUGCCCUCGGCACCGGGAUAGCCCGGGGAAACUCGGAUUAAUACCGGAUGGCCUCCGGAGCCUUCGGGCGCCGGAGAAAAGGUGGCUUCGGCAUCUGGCCGAGGAGGGGCCUGCGGCGGAUUAGCUUGUUGGUGGGGUAAUGGCUCACCAAGGCGACGAUCCGUAGCUGGUCUGAGAAGACGAUCAGCCACACUGGGACUGAGACACGGCCCAGACUCCUACGGGAGGCAGCAGUGGGGAAUCUUUCGCAAUGGGCGAAAGCCUGACGCAGCGACGCCGCGUGCGGGAAGAAGGCCUUCGGGUUGUAAACCGCUUUCAGGAGGGACGAAGCUCCUCGGGUGAACAGCCCAGAGGGUGACGGUACCUCCAGAAGAAGCCCCGGCUAACUUCGUGCCAGCAGCCGCAGUAAAAC
rnacentral:rRNA from 1 species